UACGGAGGGUGCAAGCGUUAUUCGGAAUCACUGGGCUUAAAGGGCGCGUAGGUGGUUGAUCAAGUCUGGGGUGAAAUCUUUCGGCUUAACCGGAAAAGUGCCUUGGAUACUGGUCAGCUGGAGGGAGGUAGGGGCAGUUGGAACUUCCAGUGGAGCGGUGAAAUGCGUUGAUAUUGGAAGGAACGCCGGUGGCGAAAGCGAACUGCUGGACCUCUUCUGACACUGAUGCGCGAAAGCUAGGGGAGCAAACGGG
rnacentral:rRNA from 1 species